UACGUAGGGUGCGAGCGUUGUCCGGAAUUAUUGGGCGUAAAGGGCUCGUAGGCGGUUUGUCGCGUCGGGAGGGAAAACCCAGGGCUUAACUCUGGGCUUGCUUUCGAUACGGGCAGACUAGAGGUAUGCAGGGGAGAACGGAAUUCCUGGUGUAGCGGUGAAAUGCGCAGAUAUCAGGAGGAACACCGGUGGCGAAGGCGGUUCUCUGGGCAUUACCUGACGCUGAGGAGCGAAAGUGUGGGGAGCGAACAGG
rnacentral:rRNA from 1 species